AUGUUAGUGGUGCGCCACAUCGCAGUGGACCAUAAAGAUCUCAUCCAUGAUGUCUCUUUAGACUUCCAUGGGUGACCUGCUCCAGCGACCAGAGUGUCAAGGUCUGGGAUAAAAGUGAAAGUGGGGAUUGUCAUUGUACCGCUAGCUGGAAGACACAUAGUGGACCUGUGUGGCAUGUGACAUGGACCCAUCCUGAAUUUGGACAGGUUUUGGCUUCUUGUUCUUUUGACCAAACAGCUGCUGUGUGGGAAGAAAUAGUAGGAGAAUCAAAUGAUAAACUUUGAGGACAGAGUCAUUGGGUUAAGAGGACAACUCUAGUAGAUGGCAGAGCAUCCGUUACCGAUGUGAAAUUUGCUCCUAAGCACAUGGAUCUUUGUUAGCAACCUGUUCGGCAGAUGGUAUAGUAAGAAUAUAUGAGGCGCCAGAUGUUAUGAAUCUCAGCAGUGGUCUCUGCAGCAUGAGAUUUUAUGUAUUUCUUGGAACCCUUCAAGUUCUCGUGCUCAUUCCCCCGUGAUAGCUGUAGGAAGUGAUGACAGUAGUCCAAAUGCAAUGGCCAAGGUUCAGAUUUUCGAAUAUAAUGAAAAUAUCAGGAAACAUGCAAAAGCUGAAACUCUCAUGACAGUCACAAAUCCUGUACAUGACCUUGCCUUUGCUCCAAACUUAGGAAGAUCUUUCCAUAUUCUAGCCAUAGCAACCAAAGAUGUGAGGAUUUUUACAUUAAAGCCUGUGAGGAAAGAACUUACUUCUUCUGGUGGGCCCACAAAAUUUGAAAUCCAUAUAGUGGCUCAGUUUGAUAAUCAUAAUUCCCAGGUCUGGCGAGUGUGUUGGAAUAUAACAGGAACAGUGCUAGCAUCUUCAGGAGAUGAUGGCUGUGUAAGAUUGUGGAAAGCUAAUUAUAUGGAUAAUUGGAAGUGUACUGAUAUUUUGAAGGGUAAUGAGAGUCCUGUCAAUGGGGAUUCUCAGCAGGGAAACUCAAAUCCUUCCCUGGGUUCAAAUAUCCCAAAUCUUCAAAAUUUAUUAAAUGGAUCUUCUUCUGGAAGAAAGCACAGCUGA